GACCGGCAUGCAAGGGAGGUGUGGAUACUUGUCUGUGGUUUGCACUCCAGAUCCGGGUUGUUGCUGCUAGCUACUCUGUAACUUUGCCUCAGACAUUUCCAUGAAGAGAACCUUCCUCAUUGCCACAAACCAAGCCUUUCAAUCUGCUGUGGUUUGGCCUGGAAGCCCACAUCUGUGCCAUGCUGUGAAGGAACCAGUGAUCCCUUUCGCUCUUGACAUGGGCAAAUAAAGGCAGAUUACCUCCAAGGCACAGACAGGCUUUUACCUUCCCAUGGCAAGGACAGCCACCAGAAUUUCCACACCAGCAUUUGUUUUCCAACAGUUAUAGUGAAAAUACCUCAAGAUAACUCCUAGUUUUGGAUUGUCUCAUGACAACAACUCAUUUUGGAAGCAGUCGCUUUGCCACCAAUCUGCCGUGCCUGGGUGACUUGCCAACCCUAGAGUCACAGGGUGGGGUCAGUCUCACAGGCGCAACAUGCACAGAAUGGAAAUUUCCCAAAGAAAAAUGUUAAGUGCUCCUAGCAGAAUAAAGAAGUGAAUUCUGGCAGCAGCGAGCCCAGUCCGCACAGCUGAUGUCUGAACUGCCCUCUGCUGCUCUGUGCUCCAGGCCGACUGUCAGUCUUUCCGGAAUAGUGAAGGCUGUACCUCAACAGGUCUGAUGAACAGCAGUAAGCAGUGAGCUGAGCUUCAAAGGUUACUACAAGAUAUUGAAUAUAGUUUCCUGUGCUAAACAGUAGAAACUUGCUGUUCAUCUAUUUUAUAUAUAGUAGUAUCUGCGAAUCUCGAACUCCCAAUUUAUCCCUUCCCACCGGUAACCUUCAAGUUCCACUUAAGAAUCAUCAGAAAAAAGCUGCUCCAUCCACAGAGGCGGCAGAAACAUCCAUUCUCACUGGCACGGUGCAUUAACACAGCUCAGCUGAAGGUCACUGAACUCCUGAACCAACCAACAGGGGAUGAAGCUGUACUCGGUGCUAGGGAUGGAGUCAUGAACAAGGCGGAGCCUUUCCCGGCCCAGUUUGCAUUUCAGUGAGGAAAACCAACAGCAAACAGAGCGUGGGACAAACUCUGGUGGAGAACUAGGAAAAGUCACAUACAAAGGACCCAGAUGGUGGGAUACCACAUGUUCUAUGUUUUAGUAUGAGAAACAGCUCAAUCAAGUAAACUGUUCCCAGACGUUUAUUCCAUAGCCCGGGUCUAGAAUAAUUAUUGUGCCUCUGGCAAGAGACAAAGGUGGAAAACGGACAUUUAAGUAGAGUUAACAUUAAAGAAAUUAUUGCAUUCUUUUCUGAACAUAAUCACCUGUAACUGAAAAAGCAAUGGUUCCAUGUCAUGUUCUUCAUUGAUCUGUUAGAUAUUUGCACUUGUUUAACCCAAGUGUAGGUAUAGAAUGUUGCCAACAGAUAUUCUUGAGAACUUAAUAAAACCAAGUGGUUAUCGUGAAUACAGCAGCAUGUCUAGAAUAUAUAGAGCUAAUAUUUCCAAAAAUAUAAAUAGAAUUCUUUUGUUGAAAUACCUAUUACUUACACAAUUUUAAAACAAAUUGACAUACAUUUUGCACAGAGUGCAAACUGUGGAACAAUUUUGUUUAAUCACAUUGUACAUAUACUUCUGAGUGUGUACAGCAAAGCUCUUUUUCAUGGCAUUUAACAUCAAAGUUAUCAUUUCUGAGCUGGGACCUCAAUAUCUUUUUUAUUUGUUAUUUCUUCACUAACAAAUAUGUCAUUUCUCUUAUUAAAAUUACCUAGAUUACUUGAAUAUAUUUUUUAUGGCCAAGAAUGAAGAUUAUACAACAUGAGAGCCUUUUGAUUAAUAAAGCUAUUAGCACUUUUUUUGAAUUCAGAAAUUAGUAAAUGGACCAAGGUAGGUUCCAGCAAAUACCUGAUUUCAACUGAUACCACCAACAAAGUACAUCCUGCUUCCCUGUGCAUAAAAACAUAGUCACCUAGAAGAGACAGCUUCUCAGAACUCCAAAGAGAAAAUCACAAAUGAACAACUCUAGGUAUAAAUCACAGUCCUCUUGGCUGUGAUAAGACAAAGUACAAUAAUGGGAAAGAAAUAUUUAUCCUGUAUUUCUUGUAUGAAUUUUAUCUUAAGAUCUCCAAAUAGCUGGUAAAGGAAAGUUUUUGUUUAUAGAAUAACACAAACUAAUCAACUCAAGAAAUGAAAUUUAGAAAAUCACCUAAAAUAUUCUUGAAAAAAAAAAAAGUAUAACUCAGACCAAAAUGUCAAGACUUAUAUCCUGUUAAUUUUAAAAAUAUCCUGUAUGACAGAAUUUCCAACACUACUACACUAUCCUUUUUUUUUCAGAAUGGAAAUUCUGACCCAGAGAAGGAAAGGGACUUGGCCCAGGUCAUGCAGGAAUCCAGUGGCUUUACUCACACUGGAAUCACAAGCUAAUUAUGUCCUUUUAAGAUAACAAACUGCUUGUUAUUUUGGUGCUCCUUUUAUGACACUGGAAGGAGAAAGUUCCUUAGGGUUCUCCUGGGUUACAAGGGCAACACAUCAGAAAAUUGCUGUUGUUUUUAUUUUAAUUUUGCUGGGAGAAGAGCUGAGAAAUGAAAUAAAGUGAGUAAUGACUUGGAGGCUUCUCCCCCCAGACUCUUUCUUGAGUGAGGUUUACAGAAGUCCAUGUUUGCGGGAUGUGCACUGAUCAGAAUCAUGACUGCCCAGAAAGUUUAAGCAAAAACCUUUGGUUCUUCAUAAUUAGUGGGUCUGCGGAAAAAAGGGAGUCUUCCCAGGCUUUUCCAGAACUCUCCGUGGCUUACUGCUGGGAGAGGAGGAAAAGUAUGAGGAAAACAAACAGAAACAGGCCUCCUUUGUGCGUUGGCCCUGGGCCUGCCAAAUCAGCCGGCUGGACGCAGAGGCAAUUUCCUUAGUGUUUGUGGCCUUACGCUGACUUCUGAACAGGGAAGUUGGGCAAUAUUUAUUGUUGAAUGGGGCCCUGGGAGAUUAUUCUUGGAAGGAACAACCUCUGUGAACCUUUGUGUGUUGACUGAAAAUCUCCCCUAGCCAAAGUUUCACAAACUAGAUGUGACUGCCUCCCUCUAACACAAAAAUAACUGGGAAACAGAAAGCUCUUAAAGUUUGGAAAUCCAGUCUUAUAGACGUGGUUUCUUCUUACUCAAGGUGAUUUAUGUCUCUGGAGUGCUGAGUUAGGGAAGUGUGGAAAUAGGGGAACACACUUUAAGAUACUGUGAGCAACUUUCUAGGAUUUGUGAACCAUUGAAAUUUAAAAAUAUCUAUUUAUUCACUACUCAUUUAUAGGGGAUUAUCCCCCUCCUCCCCCCGGCUUCCUUCCUUCCAUCUGGGCAUGCAGAGGCAUGGUCAGAUACUGAAAGAGAUGCAAAGAGGUAGACAGCCUGAUCCUUGACAUGAAGAUGCUCAUACUAUUCACAAAGAAACCAAAUAAUAAGAAUAAACCAUAGCGUAUAAAUAUUAGUCUGAUUUAAAUAGUCCAUUUAAACAUCAUAAAAUAGUCAUUCAAACACCAUCUCUUUUCACUCUUUCUCUCCCUAAGUUAGUGUCUGAGCAUAUUGAGAAAGGGAUGCCAAGCACAAAACCUUAAGUCAACGGAAAGGGCUGGGCCCUCAGGCUCAAAGCUGUCUGCCACCUGGGGCUCUAGGACAAUGUCCCUCAUCCAGCAGUGCUGCUAGUCCUCUUGUCAUUUGCAGCUGAAGUGUGCAGCUGGCCACAUUCAUGAGCUGAUCUCUGCCAGCCUGGUCAGGGCUGAGCAGGCCUCCCUGGCAAAGAAGCCUAGUAUUGGCCUCUGCUGGUGUAUAGACCUUGCUUGGAUCUAACUCAGGCAGCCUUGAGCCUUGCAGGCUGCUUGGCAACCCUUCACACAAAGUCACGUUGUCAAACCUGUGUGGCAAGCCCCCCAGCCAGAGUCUCAGCUGCUUUGAAACCCAGGGUGACUCCACCAAGUUAACCUUUGAGGCCUCCCUCUGCCUGGCCACCUAACAUUGCCCAGUUGCUGUGGCCACUUCCCAGCUUGGUGAUGUCUCAGAGGUGCCCUCUUUCUAGAGGCCUCAGUGUGGAGAAGGCAGCCCUUCUCUGCCUCCAGUGUUUCUGUCACCUCUCCAGAAUGUUCUCUCCUGUUCCCCACAAAGAGGACGGCAGAAGAUGCUGUACGCUCUCCCUUUUCUCUUCUUCCUACAAACACCCUAGGCCUGGAAAGGCUGGACAUGGCUUCCAUUCCCCUCAAAUCACAUCUUCUCUUUACAGUCACCUGACCCAGAUGGAGCACACUCUCCACAUCACAGUGAGCCCCUGGGGUAUAUUUUCAUAACCAAAGUCUCGUGGAACCUGAAAAUUCUAGUCUCAUAACAACCCUGUCUAUUCUUUAUCUCAGAAGCCAAGUAUUAACUUGCCCUUUUUCUUCACAAUAUCCAAACAUCCCGAGGCAAACAGAUACUUUGGGGCAACAGAGGUGAAGAACUUAUAUUCAGAAAGGCAAAAGGAAGAGCAUAUAGAAAAUAUUUAAUGCUUGUCACUAGAUAUGGUGGGCUUGUCUUACCAGCCGAGUGCCAAAGGACUUGUGACUUAUUCCUCAUGGGAGGAGCUCUAUAGAAGAGAGUGAGUAAAACUUUUGUUUUUCAAUGUAAUCUCCUUGAAACAGUGAGACCGGUAUCUUUCAACAACUCCUUUCAAUGAUGAGAAAUAGUUCCAGAAGCUUCUAUAAUGACAGAAGCCACUCUCAGCUACAGUUAUGAAAUUUAUUGCCUCCAGACAACUACCACUGGCUGGCAAAGCCUUCUUUGGUGCCCAUCAGCCUUUGGCCAGCCCCAGCCGGAGUGAAAGUGCGUACACAGGGGAGCUGCUGAUUCCGGGCUCAUUAGCCAGAAGAAGAAAAUGAAGAAGAAAGAAAUGGAAGAGGCUAAGAGUCCUUGCCUAUGGAGCACAGGGAAGCCCAUCUGCCCAGGAUUUAUGGCACUGUUCUGGAAGGAGGUUCAGGGAGUCCAAGUUGCUUAAACAUCAGUAACAGUCUGAAAUACGAGUUCAUUCUGCAGACAGCCAACGAGGAGAGGGGUAAAGAGACCCUUGUUACAGAUGGCAGGUGGUGCCAGGGACCUGAGAAGAACACAAAGGAAGACAUCUGACCAUCUCAGACUGCUUGCAUUUUGGGGUUUACACCAGAAGGGCCCCGGAUCCUCCAGCACCUUCCUCCCCUGACUUGCUGAGAGCCCACUUUCAUGAUCAUUUCUUUCCCACCCAACUUCUAAAUUAUUCUUCAUCAUUUUUUUUUCCCUCUCUCUGCUGCAUCCUCCGCCUGAGCCCCACCCCCAGGGAAUUAGAUUGGAGGGACAUUUCCAGCUGGUUGAGAAGGGACCAAUUAUGGAGGGGUGGUGGGAUGGAUGUUAUAAACCACUGAAAAUCUCAAGUAUUGAAAAUGGGCUUCUGGAAUUGCAUGUCAGACCACGGGAUGUGUACCUCUCUCUAAAUACAUGGUUGUGGGAAUCUAGAGGAGUAGCAGAAAAAUGAGAGUCUUGAGCUUAAAAACAUGCCCAUGGUCCAUGGCAGGUUGGGAACUGAACCCUGGCCAACCAGAAUCCAAGGUGCACGACCUUGCUGUCAUCCAGUUGCUUGUUGCUCAUGGCUCCGCAUCAAGACUGACCAAAAUGCAACUGUAUUUUUUACACUGCACUCUGAAACUGUACUGAGCCCUUUGCUUGUUUUUUUAAUGACCAAACCCCCAUUUCAACGAUGUUUAGCAUUCUACCUUUUUUAUUUGUCCCAACACAGCUGUUCAAUAAGAUUUCCUAUCGGUAACAGUGGCGUAUGACGACAGGGUGGAGGCGGGAAGCGGGUUCUGGCAUGGAUCCCCUAGGAGAAAAUGCUCCCUUCUGUUUCCAAGAAUCCUUUUAAGGCCUUUUGAUUUCAGAAGGAGAGUCACUUGGGCUUUACUCCUUGCUUUGUGAGUCUCUCCGUUAUCCCAGCAUCUCUAGAACAGGGGCCCUUUGGGGUAUCAGAGAUUUAUUCCUUAACAUACCUCCCCGGUACGAGCUGUCGCUGUACUUCCCAGAUUCUGAUUGCUUUUCUUCCUCAACCUCUGGGUAUUGCCUGCUGCUCAUUCCUGUCCACCACCACCCCUGCACUCAGCCUGGCCUCUCCUCUCGUAACUCCAGCACACCCAGCACCAAGCUUUCCUCACUAACUGGGAUGUCUGCCAGCUGUUUACCAUGAACUUUGGGAACAUGUGUAUAGAUCUCCUUCUCUUCAGUUCUACUCAAAUAAGCCCCCAGAGGACAUCCCUGUGGUCUGUCUGGUCGCCAGGUCUCCAUCACUUCAACCCCACCACCAUUUGUCUGGACCUUCGCACCACAGACAUUCACACAGUUAUCCCUUGUUCUUUAUUGUUAACUUGAACCGUCUUUUAAUAGCUUCUUCAUGGAUGAAUGAACUUUAAAGAGAGAAAUGUGUCUUUCUGACACACAUUUUUAUAUGAAUUCUUGUUUUAUAGUCUCUGAAUGGGUUCACUUGUUCAGGAAAACACAAUAGAACACAGAUGUUUGGGCCAAGUGUGCUCGCUAAAAGGUAUUCUCUGUAGAACUGCUUUUAGGUAUAUGAGUAUUCACAACAAAAGAUGGACAUGUUUUCCCUUUAGAGGGUUUUAUUUCUUCUCAGUCUUGUCAAAAGUUGGAUUUAUAAACUAAAUCUGUGGAAUAUUUAUUUUAAAACAUCACUAGCAAAUUGUAUGAUAACUGUAUAUUAAAGUUUAUGAAACCGCUUUCAUAAGAAUAUUGAACUUUUAAAGGUUUUCAAACAUUCUUCACUAGUUUGGGACCUGUUGGUUCAUAUUUUUGCUCAGAAGAAUUUCUAUUGCUUUUCCUCUGAGCCUCUGAGAAUGGCUCUGCUGAGGCUGUGUUGGUGGAGCAUGGCAGGCUGCGGUGCCGCUGGGUGGGAACUUUGUCAAACACCUAUUCUGUGGAACACACUGAGGGAAAAAUCACUGCCUUUACUGUGAGUUUGCUUUCGAAGAAUUUCUGUUCUUCGUGGUAACUGUGGUCAUAGCAAUUACCUAAAACAAAAUUGGUCAUUGAUCUUUUUCUCCCUCUUCAAAGUGGAUAAAGGCUAACGGUAUACGUCUGGGAAUUUUAACAUUAGUUGUUAUGUUUUUUAUUUUUAAUCUUUCAGUGUUUUUGCUUGUGAAGGGAAGACCUACACGGAAACAGAAAAUAACGGGUAGAACAUUUUCAGUUAUUAAUAACAAUUAUUCAUAUUUUCAUGUGAAGAGGUUUUGAAUAUCUAAAGUUUUGGACUAUCAAUUCCCCAGUAAUGCCUGAUACGUAUACCUAUAGAUAGAUAGAUAUGCACCUCUCUCUAUAACUAUACCGAUAAUGGAUAUGUCUCCAAAUUUCAAUAAACCGAUCAAGUCAAAUACAUUCAGUUCACUGUG